CCCAGCUGCAGACUGGGAAGCUGCUUCUCAGGAGAAGAUGCCAGAGGCUGUUUCUGCUGCACCUCGCUUCUCGGCCCUGGAGGAAAUGGGUGUUUUUAGGGUGGUGAAACACCAAAACAGCCCCAGGAAACCUGAGACCUGAUGUGUGCGGUGUCCCUGCGGCACAGGCUGCUGUCACAGCCAGGGCUGGAGGUGCUGAGGGUUUGUAUGUGCAGGGAUGUGCCCAGCUUUGGGUGAUGGAUGUGGAGAGGGGACCUGCAAAAGCAGCCUGAGGAUGACUGCAGGUGGCCAGAGCCCUCCCCGUGUUGGUGGCACCCUCUUGGAGAAGCCUGGACUGGGCUGUGAGGGAUGGGCUUGGACUGGUGGCUUCUGCCAACCUCCUGCAGCACCUCCCAGGAGAUCUGUGUGCCCGGGGCUCUGCUCUGGGUGUUGGUAGAUUGGGAAGGGGCCAGGUGCAGGCUUUGAUCCAUCCCCAUGAUAAUCCCCACCCCAAACCUCAACACUGUAAUUGUCAAAUGAAGACAACUGGGGAGAAACACAUGAAUUCUCAAGCUCACUCUCAGCCCAGCAGUCAGUCCCUGGAGCUGGGGCUCCAACUUCCCCACCCAGAGAAGGGCUGAGCCAGAGAAAUGCUCCCGCAGCGAUCUGCUCCCUCCUCCUGGCUGCAUUUCUUUUUUUUUUUUUUUUUCCACAUCUUUCAUUCCCUUCCCAGCAGAGACGCGGAGGUGGCCGGAGGGGACUCGGUGUCCUCUCACAGGGAUACCAGGGCCAUGCAGAGGGCACUGGGGGGGCUAUGAAGGGUUUUCAAAGGGUGAAACACUUUGAAAUGCAGUUUCCUCUCCCCUCUUCACCUCCCCCCGGGCUAAACAAAUACCCCCCGGCCGGGAGAUGCCUCCCGCAUCCCGCAGGCUUUUGUUCCCAGGCUUUUGUCUGGAGCUGGGAAAGGGGCCAGGAUCCCUCAGCCUCCCCAGGGACACACAUGCAGACAGGGUCUUGCCUGCUUGGGAUGUUGAGAGGCAGGCGGGAGGUGAGAGCUGCCUGUGCCCGCUGCCACGGGGCUUGGGGACAUCCCAUGAGCCAUCCUGGUGUCCCUUAGUGGCCUCAGGCCAUUGUCGCCGUUGCCUGUCACAUCACUGGUACUUUCUGCCCGUCCCCGGGAGCUACUCAUGGGACAGGACCUGCCCCGCUGUGUCCCCUCUUGUCAUCCUGCCACCAGCACACGCUGCGGGCUCUGUGCAUGGCCGGUGCCACCAGCUCAUGGCCUCCCUGUGGACGCCCCCAGAUGCCAGUUCAGAGCCACCACCCGUGGCACCUUCCAGGCAGAGGGUCACCGGCUGCAUCCCCAUCACAGGGACCCUACAAGCCCAAGCAAAAAUUGUACGGGUUUACAGUGACCUCUGGUCCUCAGGAACCCAUCACCUGGCUUUUCAUUUACAUCCCAAAAGCCAUUCUAAUUACACCUCGGCGAGGGAUCACUUCAGGGAGCUGCUUUUUGGGGCAAAAUGUUGAUAGGAAAAAAUCCUGUGAACAGUCAAACGACCCUGAAGGGACCAAGGAGACUCGAGAGCCAGCCUCAAGCGUGUCCCUGCUAGUGACAAGAAACACCUUGAUGAACUCUAAGCAAAGAUGAGACUCCAAACAAGCCCUUUGCAACCAAGCCCUCUGGAAACCAAACCCUAUCUUUGCCCCGGGGCAAAGUGUUUCUCCGGUGACUAAGUUUGGAAGAAAACAGGAUUGUUUGAAAUGUCCCCUGUUGUUCCUGCCUCCCGCCAGGAAUUACAAAAAAAGAAAAUAAAUACCCGAUUUUUGUUAUUGAAACUUUGAAAGUUCCCCUGGGAAGAGCAGACACCGUUUGCCCCCGCCCAGUCCCUUCGUGUCCCUGUCCCUGUGGGGCCAGCAGCCGACGCUGGUCCAGCUCCCCGGCCAGCUGCAGCCAGAGAUGUGCAGAGCCUUUCCAGACAACAAAAGCUCCCUGGCUGCCUGAUUUCCCUCUGCCUUAUCUCCCUCCGCGAUAGCCAGCCCGGAGCACUUUGGUCCCUGUCACCCACAGGCUGGACCCGGCUCCUUGCGCAGAGCACCGGCCCCAACAGCUUGGGUGAAGGUGGCAGAGCAGCAGCUCCCUGGUCCUGUGAUGACUGCUGAAUCUCUGCCUUCAUUUUGGGCCAGGAGGACCUUUGGAGCCACCCUCACCAGAGCCCACAGUGGACAAAACCAAGUCUUUAAAGGCUCAAGAUGAACUCUGAAUGGGGACCAAGAGCUUGGGAAACUGGGAACAGUGGAAACUGGAGCCUGGUAGGUUUAAUGGU